rnacentral:rRNA from 1 species
UACGAAGGGGGCUAGCGUUGUUCGGAAUUACUGGGCGUAAAGCGCGCGCAGGCGGUCUUCCAAGUCAGUGGUGAAAGCCCGGAGCUCAACUCCGGAACUGCCAUUGAAACUGUGAGACUGGAGUACGAGAGAGGUGAGUGGAAUUCCGAGUGUAGAGGUGAAAUUCGUAGAUAUUCGGAAGAACACCAGUGGCGAAGGCGACUUACUGGACACAUAUUGACGCUGAGGUGCGAAAGCGUGGGGAGCAAACAGG